UACAGAGGGUGCGAGCGUUAAUCGGAAUUACUGGGCGUAAAGCGUGCGUAGACGGUAGCGUAAGUCGGAUGUGAAAGCCCCAGGCUCAACCUGGGAAGUGCACUCGAUACUGCGUGGCUUGAGUAUCGGAGAGGUUGGUGGAAUUCUCGGUGUAGAGGUGAAAUUCGUAGAUAUCGAGAGGAACACCGGUGGCGAAGGCGGCCAACUGGACGAAUACUGACGCUGUGACACGAAAGCGUGGGGAGCAAACAGG
rnacentral:rRNA from 1 species